rnacentral:lncRNA from 1 species
CAAAAUCAAAAAGAAAAAGAAAAGAAAACAAAGAAAGGCAAAAGGGCCAUUUUGUAGCUCAAAAUCGGACUGGACCAUCUUGAAACAACCCAUUUGAUUUUAAAUCCCUAGUCCAUUUUAAAGGCCCAGAACAUUGACCCAUUAACCCUUUCCCCUCUUUAUAACCUAAAUCCCUCACAUUAAAGAAAAAAAGAGAAAAAAUAGGAUCAGAUCCUUAGACCCAGAGGGAGAAGAGCAACGGCGCCCCUGUUCUAAAAGGCCCCUCCUUCUUUUUCACUCACUGACACUAGAGACCCUUUGCAGAAACUCAAGCUUUCUUCCUCCUCACCUCCCACUCACAGCUUACACACGAAAAAUCGCUCACCAUAGAGCUAGAAACAAAACUUUCAAAAGUUCAAAAAAGAAACUCAAAAAGGAGAUCUGAAAAUAAGUUUGGGGAAUGAUUUUCUGGGUUUAAAAGCUGUUGAAAGCUUUUAAAGUUGAUCUCGCUGUAUUGUUGCUGUCGAGUACUACGAAUUUUGCUGACAUUUUACCAGUUUCAUUACUGUCAGUUGAUGUUGUCUUGUAUUGGAAAUUGUUAGUUGAACCCUAUCGCUUUGUUUGUUUAAGAGGUAAAUUCAAAAGAACCCCUUUGUAUCUUGUUAUAUUUAGUGAUGAAUGAAUUUCUAUCUCCGCUUUGAAAUCAUGUUAAAUGUUGAUUCACUGUUUGUAUUUUUAUAAUAAGUUUUUUGAUUGAAUUUUAUAAUAAGUUUGUUUCUUGGAUCUUUCUGUAUAUUUUUUUUUUCGGAAAUGCCAUUGAGUUGGUUCAAGUGUUUUCACUGUUGGGAUUCAUUUUUGGCUAUUUGAGAAAAUGUACUGAGAUGUUAUUUCUAUCAUUGAUUUUGCCAUGUUACUAUUAUAUUUGCUAUAUCGCCUUGUUUUGAUCUAUGAUAAUUGUUGUUUCCUUCCCGUUAAUUCCAUAUAAGGGAGCAAUUAAUGUGAUAAUUUAGCAUAAUUGCUAUCAUUAACAGUAGCAAGACAAAUGCCAUUAUGGCUAUAAUAUCAAUAAAUCGUGAUUAUACUAUCAUCUCUUGCUUUAUGAUAAGUAUGUCAUUUUGUUGAAUUCCAAAUUUGCCAUAUUCUUCAUGGCAGUAGUAUUCCAAAUUUGCCAUAUUCUUCAUGUCAGUAGUAUUUCAUGAUAUAGUCCAUAUGUAUUAACAUGUCUUUGUCAUACAAAAAGGUGCAUAUACUAUUGGAAUUGAAAAGAGCUGUUAAUUAUUAAUGUAGGAAAAGAACUCAUGCACACGUAGAAUGUAAUUGCGUGGCCCUCAUUUUAAGCAGGAAUUGAUCCUUAGAUU